rnacentral:rRNA from 1 species
UACAGAGGGUGCAAGCGUUAAUCGGAAUUACUGGGCGUAAAGCGUGCGUAGACGGUUACGUAAGUCGGAUGUGAAAGCCCCGGGCUCAACCUGGGAAUUGCAUUCGAGACUGCGUAGCUAGGAUGCGGAAGAGGGAAGCGGAAUUUCCGGUGUAGCGGUGGAAUGCGUAGAUAUCGGAAGGAACACCAGUGGCGAAAGCGGCUUCCUGGUCCAGCAUCGACGUUCAGGCACGAAAGCGUGGGGAGCAAACAGG